rnacentral:lncRNA from 1 species
AGUGUGGUUUUUAGGAAUGAAAAAAGUAUUUUUUUAAGAUUUUAUUUAUUUAUUUGACAGAGAGAUCACAGUAGGCAGAGCAACAGACAGAGGGAGAGGGAGAAGCAGGCUCCCUGCUGAGCAAGGAGCUGGAUGAGGACUCGAUUCCAGGACCCUAGGAUCAUGACCUGAGCCGAAGGCAGAUGCCCAAACGACUGAGCCGCCCGAGCACCCCAGGAAUGAAAGUCUUAUUGGUUUUCAUUCUUUCCUGCAGCAAAAAUCCUGGCAUCCUAUGUCUCCUGCCUCUCUGCAUCUCCGGGCGGGUGCAGCGAUGUUCCUGCCGCUGUGCUGGAUGAUGGCCCCUGCAGCCCACCGCUGUUCUAAGCGAGCAUGCCAGAAAGCUUGGAGGACAGCUGCUGCCCUUUCAGAGUAAAAACAUCCUCUGGGUAGCUAAAGCUCGGACUUCUUUCUAAGCAAGGUGGAUGGAAAAGAGACCAAGAAAAAAAAAGUGGCUUAAUGACCCAACUUCACCCAGAGAAUGGAAAAUAAAAUGCAAGAUUCCAAAACCCGCCCUUCCAUUUCAUCUUCAUUUUUGAAAAAUACAGGAAAAGGUGGGCUGUUUUGCCUUCCUACCAUGGACGAGGAUCUUGAAGGAGAAACUUGGCAGACUUUUUCCAUUCCCUGGGGCUUCGGCCAGGCAGUAGAGGACGAAGGAGAACAUAUAUGCCAGUGAGUAAUAGUCCUCAAGUACAAAUAUCCGGGGUCUUAUCAUUGUUUUCUGAGAUUAGCUUAUGUUUUUUGGUAGGAUGAAUUUAUUUGGA